GUAUGGUUCUAUGGAUGAAACAGAAAAUUUUCAUGUACAUUUACUACCUUCUAGGCUGAUGAAUACAAUUCUCUUUUAAACUCUAUAUCAUCUUCCCUGUUACAUAGACCAGGAUGUUGUGUGACCCCAUCUGGAGCAGACUUUGAUGUGGCUGACUCAGUCUGAUGGGGAGACUCUCAUAUGCAAUGCAAAAGAUCCAAGAGUACAGUCUCAAUAUUGUCCUUCAAAGUUAUAUAAUGUGUUUCCUUGUGUAUCUGACAAUAACUCACAUCAUGCUCAACGUCCCUGGAUGAAACUGUUAUUGGCAAAAUGUAACAGUGUCAAUCUAAGUCCUGGACUGACUGCCAAACAGGACACUCUGACAAGUAAACAAGCUUUCAAAAUGAACCACACUUUAUAUUGCAUUUAACCCACAAAGGGAAACAGAUGGAAAAUGUUUUAGUUGAUAUCCUCUGUAACAACUGAAAUACGGAUCAUUUCCCAAGAAGCUGGAAACCGAAACAUAGAAAAAUGAAGAUUCUUCUGUUAACGGCUGUUAUCGGCUUUGCUUACACAGAAGAGCUUUUAGAAAACUAUCGAACUCUCUACUUAGCAGCCGAUGAUUUAAAACUAAUAGAGGAAAAUGGGCCACUAAGAAUUCACGUACGUCAUAUUCUACAAUACAAUAAUUAUGCUGAAGUUGGCAUCACAUUUUAUGUCAGGCAAAAGGAAGGAUGCCAGCUUUACACACUUCUGCUUCGUAAAUUUAUUACUUUCAUCGUAAGACCACCAUAUAAGUCAAGAUCAUUGCAGAACCAAAGACUGGGUGGAGAUGCUUAUGUGACAGGAUUCUGGAUGUUCACCAAUACAUUCUCUACUCUCCCAGAAAGUUGGCUUCAGAAAGAAAAAAAUGGAACCAGAGUCUCAGGUGUCAUGUUAUUUGAAUUAUUUCCUGUUUCAAAUACCACAGUCAUCGUGCACAUCAACUUUGUUGAAAAGAAUGGUAAAAAUGGAAAUUUGUGUGCAGCAUUCUCAACGGAAACCAGUCUCAGUAAAGAAUUAUGGGACUUCUAUGUGGCAGUGAAUGAAAUAUAUGGAAUCCCAAUAGAAAAUAUACUAGACAUCAUCAAAAAUGACACCUGUCCUCAAUGAAGAUCCUGAUUUUGCAAAAGGAUGGAUGCUAGCUCUACACACUUCUGCUUCAUAAACUUGAUACUGCCAUCAUAAGAUCAUUAUAUACGUCGAGAUCAUUGCAGGACCAGAGACAGGGUGGAGAUGCUUCUAUGAGCGGAUUCUUAAUGUUCCCUGAUAAAUUUUCUUCUCUCCCAGGAAACUGGGUUCAGAGUGAAAACCAUAAGUGUAUAAACAU